GAUCAUGAGUUUGAAACAUACACUUGGAAGAGCAUUAUAAAUCCUGAAAAAACAUUUAGCCAAAGCCAACACCUCUAUAACCAGCUAAUGAAGAUUUCCCUGAUUCAUAAUCAAUGCUAGCUUCGACUUAACUACAGUUUAAAUGAAUGGCUACGUAGCUAACACAUUUGUAACAUUAACAACACAAAUCACAGGAUCAUCACAUUUUUUCACAGUUUGUGUCAAGUACAGCAAGGGAAGCUUAAAUGUUUAAAUAGAGUUUUAGCUAAGCUAAUAUACACGAGUAAGUGCAGCUAACAAAAGAAAGGUAGAUAGCAUCAAAACAAAAUCAAAGGUAGCUGAGCUUCAUUCCAAAUCCAGAAUCACACACUACAUCAUCAAUCAUUCAGGGAUCGUACCUGGAAUUCGAACAGAAACAAGAAGGAUAGGAGGUCAGUAGCAACAUAUGUCAAACAACAGCUUGAGAUCAAAUUCAUAGAUCAGUGCACAACAUCAACCAUUCCAGACUUGAGUUUUUUAAUAUUACAGAUUUAAAAAUUGACCAAAUACACUCGAAUAAAUCCAACCAGCUAGCAAUCGCACCCAAAAAUCAAAUACAAGCAGCAACUAAACCACUAGCUAAUUCAAACCAGUCAUAUCCGAAUCAAAUUGAUUCGAAACACAGUCAGAUUUCAGAUAUAGAAUAGAAACAGAGAUAUUCCAAUUGUUUCUGAUCCUAAACGAGCUAAGGAGCUGAAUUUCUGGCUCAAAAUUUGAAAACAAAAUCUAAGAAAAAGUAAUGAAACAAUAUUUUUGUUUGGAUUUUUACUGGUUUUCUAUUUUUUUAAUUUUCUGUAGAAAAACUAUAAUCUAGAAGAAGGUUUUGAACUUUCUAUUGAUUUUCAAAUUCAAAAUCCAGGCUCAGAUUAGUAAAAUUGGUUUUGGGGAGAAUUAUGGGGUUAAAAACGUCUUCAUGAAGACUCUGUUUAUGCCCUUACAUACGCAAAAUGAGGACAACCUAAAAUUUUCCGUUUACAGCACAUAUCCCUCAAUUUUUAUUCCAUUACCCUCUUAUUUUCUACCUUGUGUCACAAGUUAGUACACCUAUCUUUUGAAUUUCUCUUAAAAUCCUCACCUAGAAGUGUCUAGGAGGUUCUACUUCAACCACUUGCAAAAUUAACAAUAAUUAGUUACGGAAAUGAAACAGAAACUUAGUAAAAGAAACAAGUCCGGCCAACUCUCGAACUCACAAUACGACCAAUUCCGAUAAUGUUUGGGCUCUACUGAUGACGAAUUCCUCAUGAGGGAACCUCGAGACCCUAUGGUAAUAAUUUGAUAAGGAUUGGAUCAUUUUGAGUUUUGGCCAGAAAGUUUAAAAUUAAUAUUCGGGUGGUUCCGGCCAUAUUCGAGGAUCAGGGCCUUGAGGAUUCCAUAGAGGACACGGAGGUCGUAUUAUAGGGUAAAUUUGGUGUCAUUUGGAUGAGAUGGCGUCAUGGCCGGAAUAUUUUUGAUUCAAGAUUCGACAGUUUUGACAAGGAUUUGAGGGAAAUUAUUUGUAGAUUAGGAGACAGGACGAAAAGGGGAAUUUGGGAUGUUAUUCUGGGGCGGAUCGCCGGUGGCGCCGCCAUCGCCGGUGGUGGGAAUUGGUGGUGGUGCGACUUAGGGUUCAUGAGCAUUGGAUAUCGAAUGAAGACGAGAUGGGGGGUUAGGACAAUUUUAUAUCCCAAGAACCACACUUCUGAGCCAUUGAUCUCAUUAACCUAGACGGCUGAGAUUGACUAACGAUGAAACAACAUCGCUUUGGGCGAGGGUGUGGGAUACGACGGAUAAUGGGAACGGGUUUGGGUUGGAAGGGGACGUUUUUGCUUGGGCCUAGGCAAUUUUGGCCCAAUUCUUGUACUUUAUCAAGACCACUCUUUUUAGUUGUUUUUUCCUUUUAUUCCUUUUAUUUUGUUUUUAUUUGUAUUUGUAUUUUCUGAUUUUAUUAAAAUGAUAAAUUAAAAACUAAAUAUAUUUUCAAAGUUAAGCUAACUAAUUCCUAAAAAAUUUUAAAAAUUUAUUUCAUGACAAAUUCAACAAUUAACAAUUAAAAAUGUAAAAUAGAUUAUUUUUUGUUAUUUUCCUUCUAUUUUGUUUUAAAAGCAACUGAACUACUAAUUUAUCCUAAACUAUGAAAUUAAAACCUAAAAUGCAAAUGUCAAGUAUGCUUUUUAUAUUUUUCAUAUGAAUUAAAAUGUACAAGUAAAAUGCAAACAAUUAACAGAAAAUAACACAAAAUUGUAAAAAUAAAGAAAAGUUAUUUUGUUUGAAUUGUUGGGAAUAAUUCAUUUAGGGCAAAAAUCACAUGCGCAACGAGUUGAACUCCCAAUAUGGAAGAUUAAGGAAUAUGCUUUUUUCCCUCCAUUAUUUUGCUGCACCUUGCCCAAUAUUUCUUUGUCUAGAUCUUUUUUCGGUAGGUUUCUUUCUUCCACAUUUCCAUCAAAGAGAUACCUCAUCAGUCUAAAUUUAUGAUUUCUUGCUAAAAAUAUACGAUGACCAAUAAAGCACCACUUUCUACUAUGGCGAAGCAGACAAGGUUAAGCGUCAAAAUUACAAGUGGGACAUGCUAAACCAUUAUGUGAGUUCCAACCAGAUAGGAUCGGUUCCAGGAAAGUCACUAAUUAUCCACAUAAGAGCAGCUCGAAACCUAAAUAUAUCUUUCUUUGAUGAAUCAAAGAUUUCGACACCUUUACUCCACAACUCAUUCAACUCAUUAAUAAGGGGUUGUAGGAAAACAUCUAUGUUAUUUCCCGCCGUACGACCAGAAAUGAUCAUUGAGAGAAUAAAAUUAGGUUGUUUCAUACACAACCAAGGAGGAAGGUUGUAUGGAACUAAAAUGACUAGCCAAAUGCUAUAAUUAGUACUCAACGUGCCAAAAGGAUUGAAGUCAUCACUAGUUAGGCCAAGCCGAACGUUCCGAUGAUCAAAGGUAAAUUCAGGAAAAUUGUAUCAAACCUCUUCCAUAGCUCACCAUCUUUAGAAUGCCUCAUAAUUCCAUUUGUGUUACUAUCCUCAGCACCCAUCUCAGAUAUUUUGCUAUUUACAGCACAUGAACAAUCUAUACAACCUUGGUUUUAAUUGAAAGUAAUGCAAAAUCUUUGUAGGCUUCUUAGUUUUCUUCUUACCCGUAGCAGACAGAAGAUCUUCAUUUAUCUUCUUGUUAGGCUUCCACCUAGAAGUGUGACAAUACUUACUUGUUUCCUCAUUAUCAUCAUCCUCCCAAAAUAACAUACAAUCAUUUGGACAUGCAUCUAUCUUGAUAUAAUCAAGACAAAGCUUGUUGAUAUUUUUCUUGGCCUCAUAAAAGGAAUGAGGGAUCCUUGCAAAUGUAAAUGCAUCCAUCAACAAAUCUAGUAUCAUGGUCAUUCCCUUGUCACUCAGCCCGGACAAAUAUUUUACGUGAUACAAUUUUAAUAAAAAUUCUAGUUUUGAGUACUUGGACCCUUCAUACAAUUCUUGACUUCCAUCUCUAAGCAACUCGAAAAAGUCUUUAUCAUUUGAAGCAGACUAAUCAUUUGACCUUUCUUAGCUACCCGCUACUUGCUACGGACCUAAAACAACCCCGGCGUGCCUUAGGCCCCAAAUGCUUCAUUAAUCAAUAAAUCUAUUUCAUAAAAAAAAGAGGGAGUCGUGCAAAUGUAAAUGUGUCCCUCAACAAAUCUAGUAUCAUGGUCAUUCCCUUAUCACUCAGCCCCGACAAACAUUUUAUGUGAUACAAUUUUAAUAAAAAUUCUAGUUUUGAAUACUUGGACCCUUCAUACAAUUCUUGACUUCCAUCUCUAAGAAACUCGAAAAAGUCUUUAUCAUUUGAAGUAGGUUCAUCAUUUAAACUUUCUUCACCACCUGCUACUUACGACGGACCUAUAUCAACCCCAUCGUGCCUUAGGCCGCCAAAUGCUUCAUUGAUCAAUACUUCUACUAGAUUUUCAGGAGGUAAUGUAUCUUGUAUAUUAUCUAUAUAAUUAGGCAGUAUAUAUCUUUCACCAAGAAUACUCCAAGUGAUAUAAUUUUGAGAGAAUGGUUUGAAAAUCAAACGAUCGAGCGCUACCUCUCUAGUAUGCCACUUUGCUAAUCCACAUUUAGGACAAGAACACUUUAUUCUAUCUCCAACAACAGCAUUAGCAAAUGCAAAAUCUAAAAACUGGUUUAAACCAAAUAGAUAUUUUGUGGUGUUCCUUGCAUUUCUAAUCCAAAGUUUAUCCAUAGAAAAGUAUUAACUUUCAAGUCCAGCUGAUGAACCUUUCAGAAUAUAAAGAGAAAAUAUAAGUUCUUUAUUAUUAGAAUAUAGAAUAUUAACUAUUAGCGAUUCUUUAAAAUCGAAAAACAAAUUAAUCAAAGAAACUUUUUUUAUUUGGAUUGAGGUGAUCUUAAAUGGAGCAAUAUUCAUAGUAAGGAUACAUAGCCAAUUGGGAUUGAUGCGCAGUAGUAAUUUUUAUUCUUUUCCAUUGGAUGAUUAUGUUAAAUUUAACUUUUCUAAAUCAGCUAAUAUGCACUUAGUAUUGUCUCCACUAACUUAUCCUAAGUUCUUUCGAUUUCCAGUUAAAUAUAUUCUACUCCCUUUUUCUUUAAGUAUGCACACAAAAAGCAUGAUUUCAAAAGGAGUAUUAAUCAGUACAAUUAGAACCAUCCUAGAGUACAAAAUAGAUAUUCACAUACAUUUUCAAAUUUCACAUUGUUUCUCUCUUAUUUUUCUAAAUAAAAAAACUGAUACAAAGAAAAUAGAAUAAACAAAAAAGUUAUAUUGUAAAACAAGAUCACAACAGAAAAAAAGAGAGAGAUCAUAUUGAGUCGAAGAACAUGGGCAAUGGUAAUGGAGAACUACCAAAAGCACAAAGAAAUCAAGGAAAAAGCACUCAAAAAAUUAUACAGAUUAGCCAUUUAAUACACACAAAAAUUCAAUAUCAAACACAAUUUAAUCAUACAGAUCGACAAAACUACACAAAAAAUUAAAAUUAAUAGAAAACCCAUGAGGGAAAUAAGUAAAGAAAGAGAAAAAUCAAACUUGGGAGGUGUAAAAACGAUGUCGAUUGAAGCAGAGAACUUCGAUUGAAACAGACCUUUGAUUGAAGAGGAGAACAUCAAAAAAGAAGUAGAGAACUUCAAUUAAUGGAGGUGUAAAAUUAUUAAGAAGAGGACUUCGACUAAUUAGCACGGAACUUUGAUUAAGAAUAAUAAGGAAAGGAGCAUUUUUCAGGGGAAAAAUGGUUUUUUUGCCAUAUUUGGCCAAUUAUGUGUGUGAGGCGAAAGUUUCUAGGGGAAAAAAUGGAGGGAGUGUGAAAUAAAUGAACCAAUAUUAUUU
rnacentral:lncRNA from 1 species